UGGGGAAUAUUGCACAAUGGGCGCAAGCCUGAUGCAGCCAUGCCGCGUGUGUGAAGAAGGCCUUCGGGUUGUAAAGCACUUUCAGCGAGGAGGAAGGUGGUGAGCUUAAUACGCUCAUCAAUUGACGUUACUCGCAGAAGAAGCACCGGCUAACUCCGUGCCAGCAGCCGCGGUAAUACGGAGGGUGCAAGCGUUAAUCGGAAUUACUGGGCGUAAAGCGCACGCAGGCGGUUUGUUAAGUCAGAUGUGAAAUCCCCGGGCUCAACCUGGGAACUGCAUUUGAAACUGGCAAGCUAGAGUCUCGUAGAGGGGGGUAGAAUUCCAGGUGUAGCGGUGAAAUGCGUAGAGAUCUGGAGGAAUACCGGUGGCGAAGGCGGCCCCCUGGACGAAGACUGACGCUCAGGUGCGAAAGCGUGGGGAGCAAAACAGGAUUAGAUACCCUGGUAGUCCACGCUGU
rnacentral:rRNA from 1 species